rnacentral:rRNA from 1 species
CUCGAUGUCGGCUCAUCACAUCCUGGGGCUGUAGCCGGUCCCAAGGGUAUGGCUGUUCGCCAUUUAAAGUGGUACGCGAGCUGGGUUUAGAACGUCGUGAGACAGUUCGGUCCCUAUCUGCCGUGGGCGUUUGAGACUUGAGGGGAGCUGCUCCUAGUACGAGAGGACCGGAGUGGACGUUCCUCUGGUGUUCCGGUUGUCACGCCAGUGGCACUGCCGGGUAGCUAUGAACGGACGGGAUAACCGCUGAAAGCAUCUAAGCGGGAAGCCCCCCCCAAGAUGAGGUCUCACUGGAUCCUCGAGAUCCCUGAAGGGCCCUUGUAGACCACAAGGUUGAUAGGCUGGGUGUGGAAGCGCAGUAAUGCGUGAAGCUAACCAGUACUAAUUGCCCGUGAGGCUUGACCAUAUAACACCCAA